rnacentral:rRNA from 1 species
CAGUAGCCGCGGGAAUACGGAGGGGGCUAGCGUUGUUCGGAAUUACUGGGCGUAAAGCGCACGUAGGCGGCUUGGUAAGUUAGAGGUGAAAGCCCGGAGCUCAACUCCGGAAUUGCCUUUAAGACUGCCGAGCUAGUAGGUGAGAGAGGUAAGUGGAAUUCCGAGUAUAGAGGUGAAAUUCGUAGAUAUUCGGAAGAACGCCAGUGGCGAAGGCGGCUUACUGGCUCAUUCUAGACGCUGAGGUGCGAAAGCGUGGGGAGCAAACAGGAUUAGAUACCCCUGUAGUCCCUGUCUCUUAUAC